rnacentral:tRNA from 1 species
UGUAAUGUAGUUUAUGAAAAAUUUUCGUUUUACACGCGAGAGAACUCGGUUUGAGCCUUACUA